rnacentral:rRNA from 1 species
GACGAACGCUGGCGGCGUGCCUAACACAUGCAAGUCGAACGCAGUGGGGACGGGUGAGUAACACGUGGGUAACCUCCCAUCAGAGGGGAUAACACUUGGAAAUAGGUGCUAAACCGAUACUGAUGGAUGGACCCGCGGUGCAUUAGCUAGUUGGUGAGGUAACGGCUCACCAAGGCCACGAGGCAUAGCCGACCUGAUAGGGUGAUCGGCCACCAUGGGACAGAGGCACGGCCCAACCUCCUACGAGAGGCAGCGGUAGAGAAUCUUCGGCAAUGGACGAAAGUCUGACCGAGCAACGCCGCGUGAGUGAAGAAGGUUUUCAGAUCGUAAGGCUCUAUUGUUAGAGAAGCGGUAUCUAACGAAAAAGCCACGGCUAACUACGUGCCAGCAGCCGCGGUAAUAC